GCUUAACUGACUGCAUGGUGCUCAAUAACUCCAGAAGCCGAGCUCCUCAAAGCACAGUGAGACAGAGCAGUGUGUGGCUGGAUGGACAGUGAGAGCGGCGUGCCUUUGGGGAAGGCUAGAUAAUGAGUUAUUUUACAAACGGCUUCUCUCUGUGGACUUGCUCACUGGGGACCAACAUUUUGGAUUUAAAGCCAUUUUGGCUGGGAGCCGACGCCAGCGGCUGCUGCCUGUGGCUCGUGGAUUUCAGCAAUUCUUGGUGCCAUGACUUGGAUCCACAGCAAACCACCGGACCGGAGGACCGUGGACCGAUCCUCACUGGACCCGGGCACCAUCUGAAAGGUCUGUUCACUCACAGGUACAAAGUGCUCUGCCUGAACCAGCUGACACGCCGUGCCACCCGCUGCAGCCUGGAGAUUGGGUCUACAUUAAGGUACACCAGAGAAAGACUUCCCUGCAGUCUCACUGCGAACGUCUCUACCAGGUCCUGUUGACCACCCACACAGUGGUCAAAUGCAAGGGACUCAUCAGCUGGAUCCACACCUCCCACUGCAAACAGACAACGCCGCCUCCGAACCCAGACCCUAAAGAAUUCCAUCUGGCAGACCCCGCUCUAGGAACCAGCCAGGGCGAUAGCAACAGUGACCUCUCUCCAGGCCCUGAAAAGGAACCUAGAUAUAACCUCAGGAAACAAAAAUAGACCUCAGCACCCCGAUCCAUCAGUCCGUGGGCAAUCGGAGCCACCUUCAUCUCCUGUACGCUGCCUUUACAGCCAGCUGAAGCUUCGGCCCGCUGGAAAAGGGACAACAGGAGACACAAGGCCAGAAUAACGCCUUUAAAAGCCCAGUGGAGAGCCUAGCGCCCACUGGCACCCAGCUGCCAUGGCUGACCCCACAGACAGAAUAAAAGAAACAGUCAUGGUGCGAAAAUGGCUCAUGCCCUCAAUUUGGUUCAUGUGUGUAGCUAUGCUCUUGCUGUUAUUGUUAAACUUCCACGAUACCUUUAUGUUCUUUUGGAUGCCCAAGAGCACCAUCAAAGGAAAAGAUCCCUUGAGAUCACUGGCCCAGGAUCUGGGUAGUGUGCUAGCAACCUCUCCCCAGUAUGAUGCUAAACCACGACCGUUCCAAGAGAGAAGAAGGAGCACUCAUGCUGCUGAAGCCCCCAAAGUCCAGAAAUUCCUAACAACAAGGGACAUUGAAAAUUGGCCCUGGUGGAAGAAACGAAGUAUUAUACAUUGGCAAGGAGGGAGUUGCGGGAUAUAUUCUUGGGAAUGUGGAGUUAAGUGGUGGGGUGGGUUUAUUCCAGAGGCUGCAAACUGUGUUUAUGGACAAGUACCAUCAGAAUGUACUGCCCUCCCUAAUUGGCUUCCAGAGGAUGAAUACCAAAAAAGGCCUGGCUGGCACAAAUAUUAACCCCACCAUCCCCGCCACCUCUGACAACAUCCCUGAAAUUUACCCAAUUACAGAUAAUACGGUAUAUUCUACCGAAAUCCAUUGGCCCAGACCUUCACGUCUUCGUAAUUUACUAAAAUUUUGUUCAGAAAAAUUAUUUUUCAAAGCCCAAAAUAAAGCAUAUGAAUGAACAAUUGAAUGGAAAACAAAUGGGUUGCUGGAAAUGGAAAUAUAUAUCACAUCACUCCACAUAAGCCCCAAGAAUCAGAAAUUAAAAUCGAGGGGUUCUAUGAAGAGGUAGAUCUGAUGGCUGUUCCCGGAAUUUGCAGUAUGCUGGAUGAAAGAAGCCCUUAUUGUUAUUUUGUGAUGCAGUUAGUAAAUAAUCAAACCUAGACCCAAAGGGUUUGUUCUGCCAUGGGAGAUUUUACCUGUAUUGAAAUAAUUCCAGUAACUACUGUAAUAACUUAACCUGCACAACAUUGCAAUAUACCCCUUCCUGUGCUAUUAAUGUCAAUGCUUCUCAAAAGUACAUAGAAGUGUAUAGCCAACAGAUGUGGUAUAGUACUUGACCAAAAAGGGACGUGUUAGGAUAUUGUAAGGGAAAAUCCAGUGGCAUCCAAACCUUAUCAGCCCAAGUCUCAUGUGAAGCUGCCAAGGUCAGCUCGCUUAAAUGUACAAAGGAGGGGCACAGAGGAGACAGUGGAAAAUACCCAACAGUCCCCUAGCAAAAGCAAUUUUGCAAUAUCCCUCACAGUCGCUGUUUAACUGCAAAAGGACAGACAGUAAAUAACAGGAAAGGCCUAAUAUGGGGAAAAGUUUGCUCCAAUCUGUAUCGAUUUUGCAAUAUUUUAGUAAGGAAACAACAAGGAAAUGUAUGCAACUUUGUGUAACUAGUUUGUGGUUUUAAGCUUUAUAAGCCUGUCUGUAACCAGCUUCGGGGAGGCCGUUUCCAAUAGCGGUCCUCCCCUGCGCGCUUGUAAUCAAUAAAGAGCCUCAGACUGAUCUGAUUGAAAAACACAAUGUGGAUUGAAUUUUCCACAACAGUAUCGAUGGAUCCUGAUUAAUACUACUCUAGGAACUAUAAAAUUCACACUGCCCUUGUCCAGCUUCCAAGUCACCUCCACAUACCCUAAUUGCUCGAGAGGGGCUGCCCUUAGGUUAGCGCAGCAAAGGGCCUAGGUUUCCUCUAGGGAAAAGAGGGACGUGGCCGGACACUUGUGGGAUGGUGCCAACAGCGCAGCUGCUAUUUGAAAUAUUUAUAAAGGCCAACAACAUGAAGAAAAAUGAGGACAAUUGGAAAAGGCCACGGGUCUUAUUACUGGAGCACAAUUAACUCAGGUGCAGGCUGGAGUUGGUGAAUUGCGUGUUAUUUCUGUUCAAUAACCCAGAAACUGCUCACAACACUGGUGCUAAAUAUCACUGAGGCUGGGAAGGCAUUGCAGUGGGAUCUGGCAUGUUCAGAAAUUCAGGAUUUCCUAA